AGUCAUAUGCUUGUCUCAAAGAUUAAGCCAUGCAUGUCUCAGUACAAGCCAAAUUAAGGUGAAACCGCGAAAGGCUCAUUAAAUCAGUUAUGGUUCCUUAGAUCGUACCCACAUUUACUUGGAUAACUGUGGUAAUUCUAGAGCUAAUACAUGCCAACAGAACUCCGACCGGAGACGGAAGGAGUGCCUUUAUUAGAUCAAAACCAAUCGGUGGCGCGAUUUCGGUCGUGUCAUCGUACAACAUGGUGAAUCUGAAUAACGUUUGCUGAUCGCACGGUCUCGCACCGGCGACGCAUCUUUCAAAUGUCUGCCUUAUCAACUGUCGAUGGUAGGUUCUGCGCCUACCAUGGUUGUAACGGGUAACGGGGAAUCAGGGUUCGAUUCCGGAGAGGGAGCCUGAGAAACGGCUACCACAUCCAAGGAAGGCAGCAGGCGCGCAAAUUACCCACUCCCGGCACGGGGAGGUAGUGACGAAAAAUAACGAUACGGGACUCAUCCGAGGCCCCGUAAUCGGAAUGAGCACACUUUAAAUCCUUUCACGAGGAUCAAUCGGAGGGCAAGUCAGGUGCCAGCAGCCGCGGUAAUUCCUGCUCCGAUAGCGUAU
rnacentral:rRNA from 1 species